rnacentral:rRNA from 1 species
UGCCAGCCGCCGCGGUAAUACGUAGGGGGCAAGCGUUGUUCGGAAUUACUGGGCGUAAAGCGCACGUAGGCGGAUUAGUAAGUUAGGGGUGAAAUCCCGGGGCUCAACCCCGGAACUGCCUCUAAUACUGCUAGUCUUGAGUUCGAGAGAGGUGAGUGGAAUUCCGAGUGUAGAGGUGAAAUUCGUAGAUAUUCGGAGGAACACCAGUGGCGAAGGCGGCUCACUGGCUCGAUAUUGACGCUGAGGCGCGAAGGCGUGGGUAGCGAACGGGAUUAGAUA